rnacentral:rRNA from 1 species
UACGUAGGGGGCAAGCGUUGUCCGGAAUCAUUGGGCGUAAAGAGCGCGUAGGCGGUCUGGUAAGUCCGCUCUGAAAGUCCGGGGCUCAACCCCGGGAGGCGGGCGGAUACUGUCGGGCUAGAGUCCGGAAGAGGCGAGUGGAAUUCCUGGUGUAGCGGUGAAAUGCGCAGAUAUCAGGAGGAACACCAAUGGCGAAGGCAGCUCGCUGGGACGGUACUGACGCUGAGGCGCGAAAGCGUGGGGAGCAAACAGG